rnacentral:rRNA from 1 species
GAGGAAUAUUGGUCAAUGGGCGCGAGCCUGAACCAGCCAAGUAGCGUGCAGGAUGACGGCCCUAUGGGUUGUAAACUGCUUUUGUAUGGGGAUAAAGUCAAUCACGUGUGAUUGUUUGCAGGUACCAUACGAAUAAGGACCGGCUAGUUCCGUGCCAGCAGCCGCGGUAAUACGGAAGGUCCGGGCGUUAUCCGGAUUUAUUGGGUUUAAAGGGAGCGUAGGCCGGAGAUUAAGUGUGUUGUGAAAUGUAGACGCUCAACGUCUGACUUGCAGCGCAUACUGGUUUCCUUGAGUACGCACAACGUUGGCGGAAUUCGUCGUGUAGCGGUGAAAUGCUUAGAUAUGACGAAGAACUCCGAUUGCGAAGGCAGCUGACGGGAGCGCAACUGACGCUUAAGCUCGAAGGUGCGGGUAUCGAACAGGAUUAGAUACCCUGGUAGUCCGCACAGUAAACGAUGGAUGCCCGCUGUUGGUACCUGGUAUCAGCGGCUAAGCGAAAGCAUUAAGCAUCCCACCUGGGGAGUACGCCGGCAACGGUG